ensembl:lncRNA
CACGGAGGGCCGGUCACCUCUUUGGACGGCCGGUGACGCCGAGUUUGGUGCACCCAGGAUGGGUUUGCUGCCCUCCUGGCUGCCAGGGCACGCUGCUGGCUGCCGCGGAGCCUGCUGCCAGCCAGCACCCCCAGAGCCCUCUCUGCAGCCCCAGAGCUGCCCCUCUCCCAGUUUAGCCUCGUGUCUGGCAUUUCUCUAUCCCAGGUGCAGAAUCAGGCUUUUUGACUUGUCAUUUGCAUGUCACUGGUGAUGGCCCAGUGCUCCACUGUAUCCAGAUCCCUCUCUCUGCAAGGACCCUUGUCCCUCAAGAGAGUCAACAGCACCUUCCAGUUUGGUACAGCAGAAGUCAGACUGUUUUCCUUACCAACAGUAACCAAACGUACAUAUCUUCUCAGAGCUAGUAAAUCUAUGUUCAACCUUCACAAAAAUUCUUAAAACUUUCUUGAUAAAUCAGUGGUUUCUUUUCCUGCUUACAAACAAUUAAAUUCAAUCAAGUCUCUGCAUAAUUCCUUUGGGUUUCAGAGUUUGGAGAGUAUUUUGGAAUUCCAGAACAAAGAGUGCUAAACUUCAUGAUUAACGGAGAAGAAAUCUGACACUUACCAUUUCCUAUUUUCAGGGAACAAUUUUGUCUCCUUUCAGUCAUUCACAGGCCUUUUAGAAUAAUCACAGGAUAGUAGUUAAAGAACAGUUUGCUGUAAGGUUGUCAGUAUGGGAUAUGAUAGAGAAUGAACACUCCCACUGAAAUCAAGAGGGUCUUCUUCUGUGAAGACGGCUGUGUAAAAGGCUUUCAGAUGCUGCAACUGGAACUAUAUUUUUCACUGCAUUGUCUGAACUCCGUAUCUUAUAGUUGCAUUGAAAAUAUCUAGUCAAAUAUGUCUACUUUAAAUGAACUCUCUGCUGUGGUUCAUUUCUCUUCCUUUGUGUACACCCCUGCUCUCCCACACAUGUAUUUUUAGUUCUGCCCAUCCUGUCCUUCUUCUGUGACUUCCAAUUACUUGCUAUCAUCUGUUAACAAUUUGCAAGUAUUUGCUUGAUGUCAAGGCAUGAGAAAACAAAAUUGGGAAAACACUCUUCCCCAAAAAUGGCCUCUACUUCUAGCCAUCAAAUUAAUACCUGAAAAAGUCUGAUUGCCCAAAACCCCUCCAGAAUUUUCUUAUGUAACUGAAAUAAGAUACUUCUGUGAAAAAUCACUGGUAGAUAGACUGAAAAACACUACUCUGCUGGUAUAAUGUAAAUAUCCUUGUAAUAAGAACUCUAUCUUUCGUAAAAAUACCCAGUGACAUAGAAGAGGGAUUUUCUUUCCCUGGGAGUGCUGGUAGCUUGCUGUCCUAGAUGUUCAAGGAUUUCUGGAGUCAGGAAAAAGCUUUUUAUCAACGUCCUAGGGGUGGCACAGAGAGACUGAGUGGCACCUCACAGAUGCAUAACAUGUCAUGAUCUGGGCAGCUGUUACAAUUUAAUCUCAAAAUGUAAAGCUGUUACUGGUUUACCUUUAAUACUCAGGGGAAAUGUUAAUUUUCAUUUAAUCAAAGGUUGGAGAACAUGACAGUCUGCUGGUGUUUUAAUCACUUGCAAUAGAUAAUACAGAAAAGGUCAUUACAGAAAUUUCCAAAAGAUCGCUGCCAUUUGCUAAUGUAUGAGGGCUCCAAGUAUCAAAAAAAUUAACACUGUUUUCUGAAUUUCUGUUAGUUUACAUUAUCUCCCAAGAGUUUUCACACAGUCUCAGAAACACAGCUGUGUAACUUCUCUUUUACUGUGACUUAAUGUUUUUUCCUAUUUAUGUGUAUUUUGAGGGAGAUCUAAACAAUCUGUGCUGAGUGGUUUUUAUAGGACUACAAUUACAAAGUCCAAAUACAGCUCAAAAGAACCACUGGGAGAGCAGAAAUGUUUUUCAAAUAAUUAAAAUUCUGUAUUUGAUUAUUAUCAAUCUGUGACUGCAAUGAAGUAUUGCCACUGCUAGUAAUGGGACAUAAGCCUUGUAUUAAGUUUCCAAGGCAUCAGAACAGAAGCUUGUCAGAUUUGCACUGCCUGAAUGUUCUUUGAUCUGCUUGCAGCUUUGCUUUGCUUCCUUUAAUUGUGAGAGCAGUUUUGACAGGUUUCCUAUGGCUAAUUUAUUUUUCUUGUAUUAAUUGUUUUCUGAAAUGCAGACCUGGAGCUGGACACAACUGGUUUAGCAAAAAAGGCAAAGAAACUACCUAAUACAUGUGGCAGGUACUGUAUAUAGUAAAAUCAGAUGUAAGAGCUGCAGAUUAGUGAAGAAAAAGCAAGGUGUAAAGUUGUGUUAGCAAGCAUACAGAAAUAACUCCAAGAGAACCACAGAGGAGUGAAGGAGCAGCUGUCAACACAAGCAUGACAUUCGUCCUGGUGAGGGACUCCAGAUGCUGACGACUCACUGUAAACCCAUCCCCCCCACCUGAGUGAGACCAUGACCUUGGGGCCUAGGGAAGGAGGGAAGAGAGGUGACACAAUACCAGGAGAAUGGUAGAAACUAAGAAGUGUGUGUGGAGGAAUUAAUUAUUUGUAUAAUAAAUAAUAAAACUUAAUAAUGGUAAUUCAGCAUAAACAUGUAGUUUCUGUAAUAAUUACAUCUGAAUUAAUAAUUAUUGAAUGAGACUGUUAGGAUUUCAGUUAUGUUAACAGUAGAUUUUUUACUUUUUAAAUAAGGUGCAUUUCGUCUUUGUCAUAAAUAAGGUUUUAAGUGUAACAAGCUUGGUGUACUGGCAAUAAAUUUCUGUCUGAAGAAUACACAUUAACUAGGAAACUUGGAGUUUCGGAACAACCCAUGUUAUGUUUAAGUGUUAAUUUGCUAUACUCAGCCAUCUGAGAGGAAUAAUUCAUUAGGCUGGUUAAUUAAGGUAGGAGUGACACCACAAAAAUGAUACUGUUAUAGCGCUCUUUGUAAUAAAACACUAUAUAAAUCUAAAAAAAGAAUCACAGCUCUAAAUGUUUGGUUUGUAAAGAGCUCUGUAUUUGCUACUUUAAAGGAA